rnacentral:lncRNA from 1 species
AUCGAUAGUAUCAGAUCGGGACACCCGGUUUGUGUAGAAUACCGAACUUCUAAAAUUAUGAAGUUACAGUGAGAUGAAAAUAUGCGGAUUUUAAUAUAAAAAGGGCAAUAAAUAAAAAUAGUAUGAGAAACUAUUUUUAUUGGAUUUAGAGAAGUGAAAUAUAGGUUGGGAAUGACCUAUGCUGAAAUCGGAGCGAAAACAGAAUAUUUAGAAUUUUCUGUGUGAAAUGGGGCAGAUAAAUUAGCAGAAAAUGCAUAGUGUCAGAAAAUUAUGAAAACUGGAGGAUAAGUCAGAAUUAAUUUUAUGAGGCUAGAUUUAAAGUUUCAACCCAUUCUGACACCCGGAAGGUGGAAAAUAAAAUCCGACAGUUAUCUGAUAAAGAUUAGAGUUCGGUAGAGCUUUCAGUGACCAAACGGGGUCGAAACUGAAAGAUUAAAAUUUCUUUCGUUAAGUUAAGCAAAACCGAACAUCACUGUCAGAUUUGAGCUCAACCGGAUAUUCAGAGGGCUCCGGCGAAAGAUAUCAGAUUUCGAACUGCCUGAAGUGAAUAGUGUUUUGGC